GCUAGGCAGGCUCAGCAGAGUCUUAAAAUAUAAGGGCAACUAGGGGAAAUGGAGCUAGCUCCCCUUGAGAAAAAAACAAGGGCUUUCAAAGAGAGACAAAUAACUUGCAAUUUAAAUGCAUAAGAGACCAGGCUGUGCCACCCUACAAGCAGAUAGAUGCAAAUGAUAUGCAAAUGACCCAGAGUAAGCCUAGGUUUGCCAACAUCCUUUGCCAAGCAGCCAGUUAUGGGGUUCAGCCAGGUCUGGGCUGUGCCAGAAGCUCACAUCUGGGGUCCAGAGACCUUGGGGUAAAUGAUCAGUUGCACCUCCUCCAGGAGGCUUUCCAAGACCCAGCAGGCCACAGACCCCUACCCUUGUCAACCAGGGCUUGGAACUGGCCUCAGAUUAUCCACAAGGGUGGUAUCUUCUCUCUACAGACUGUGUGCUCCUAAGGGCCGGAGCUCCAUCUUGUUCACCAGCACAUCCCCAGGCCUGGCACAGAGCCUGGCACCGAGCAGGUGCUUGGGAACAGCAGGCUGAGAGGAUGCAUGCAGGCAGGAUGGGCAUGAGUUGAUUCCUCAGUCCUCUCUUCAGUCCAGGGCAGAGACUGCAUCCUCUUCAGAGGAUUUCAGUUGUGCUGUCCACCGACACUGAACGUCAACCCCCAACGUGAGGUCCAGCAUCAGAUAAAAAUUAAAGGACUAAAGUUUGCAAGUGACUUACCUAAUUUAUGAAUUAGGGAAGGUUCCACUUGGUUGAUAUGAAGCCAUCUUUCCCUUCUCUUUCAUUCUGCUGUCCUUUCUGGAGAAAGCCAGGGCCUGAUACAGAAGAGGAACAUAACAAAUGUCUUAAUGAAUGAAUAAGGUUCCAGCUAGUUUUCUAGAAAUUGACCGUAACCCAUAGCCCAUUCUAUCUAUGCCACUGAUCUUUGUCUAUGAAAUCUUUUUGGUGUCUAUAAACUUUAGGGACUGUAACAGACACUUUGGGGACCACGACCCAUCCCCUUGGCCUACCUCUGAUUUCAGCUGCAGUGGGGUGAACAGUUCAGACUCAGGCUUUUUCUGCCCUGGGGCUUUCCCCAAGACUUCCUGAAACUACCAGGACAGCCCAGAAAUGUGGGGGAGUUAAGGCCCCAGGAGCAACCCUCUACAAUGGAGGACAGAAGCCAGUGCAUAGAUGCUCCUGCCUCUCUUUCUCCAGAAGACAAUUCUGGGAGGCAUUCUGUAGGCUUCCAGAGCUCCUGGCAGAAUCAAGCCUUCCCUCCCACAGCAGCAACCUCAGUGUGCCAAGGUGGAAAAAAGAUUGAGGAUGGCUCAUCUUCACAGCCAAAGUGAAUCAUUUCGUUCGUAAGGCGGCAUUAAGUGGUGCUGAAUAAAGCACUCAUCCACCCAGCACAGAAUUCUUGGCCUCCUACUGUGUGCCUGGCUCUGGGGAUGCACAGACAAGGCCCUGUCCUCGCGGUACUCGGAGUCUAGAAUCAGAGACAGCCAGCCAAACAGUCGCCCCCAAGCUGAUCCUGACUUCUAAUGACCCUACGUGUUGCGGAUGAGAACUGUGCCCCGUAGGAUUUUUGAUGUCUGUGAACUUUCAGAAGCAGAUCACUAGGACUUUCUUCUGAGGUCCCACUGGGUGGGUUUGAACAGCCAAACUUUUGGUUAGCAGUCAAGCACUUAACAGUUAGUACCACCCAAGGACAGAAGCAGAGACAGAGACUAGUUAAAUAGCUUAGUUAUGGUGUGACAAGGGUACAGAUGGGUAUUCGGGAUGGGCUCGGCUAAGCACCUUCAUGUUUGCUGUCCCACCAAAUCCUCAAAAUGACCCCGUGCCCCUGUGGGCAGGGCUGUAUUCAUUUACAAUAGAGGAAAAUGGGGCUCAGAGUUCGGGGAUUUGUUUAAAGGAAGCUCAGACAGUUCCUGAGUGAUAGAGCUGCGAUCUGAACCCGAGGUGGCCAACCAGUGCCUGCAGAGGUACG